rnacentral:lncRNA from 1 species
CCUAUCAAAUGACGCCCCUGCUACUAAUGCAUGUAAAGUAAAUCAAUAUUAUUUGGGAUUUUUUUAUUUAUGUUUUCUUUAAAUCCAUAAACUUUAAUAUCAGCCAAGACAAGAAGUUUCUCAUUUGUCCCUUACCUAUAGGUAGGUAAAUAGUACCUACUCUGUUACACUCUUUUGUUUUGUGCCUACUCUCUGGACACUCAAAUGUAUUUUUAAUAAGUUUGAGUAAUUUUUCAACUGCUUUUACGGAAGGAUUUACUCGAUCAAAUAAAAUCAGAAAAAUAAUUGUGAUUGGGGAUCAAUACCAAUACCUAGGGGAAAUUUGGACAAAACCGGGUACCCCUUGGUUCUUCUAACUGUCUGCUGCUAUCUAUCAGACAAUGUUAAAAUUAGAAACUGUCAACAGUCGCGUGUAUCCAUUUCUACUUCAUUUGAGUACUCUGUGCCGGAGCAGUAAGACCCCACCUGUUUUUUGAUGCAGCAAACUCGAUUUUUAGGUGUGGCUGACAUCCUUUGAAUUUAAACAUACAAUCAACCAAGAGAGGCCCCCUAUUAAAAAGUGAGUGGUAUUGUCAAAUAAUGCUUGAAACACGUGAAGUUUACUGUAGCUUACUACAUAGUCACCAAUUAUAGCUGUGAGGAAUAUUAAGAACGUUAGAUAAGUUGUUAAUUUGUUAAUAUAAAAAAAUAACAUUACAGCUAUUUUUCAAAUAAAUUGAGGUUAUAUUUA